UUGAACAUGCGCUUCAGACGCUCGGACUCUGACAUCAUUCAGCAGCUAGAGGAUAUUCUCAACAAGUGGUCUACUGCAUACGAGGCUGUCCGAUAUCCGACCUGGCGCUGGCAUGACUGGAAGACUUUCUUGUCUACAUCUUUUAAAGCAAUACCCGGGAUAAGAAGUACCCGUACUUCAGGUUCGACUCAUCGAGGCCCGGCACGGUUUUCGCGAAGAAAGCAACGGACCUACCAGAGGAAGAGUUCUUCAUCAUGAAACACAGGAAACUCCCCUCAGCAGAACCGUGCUUAAUUAUACCGGCAGAGCUAUCAGAGAAUCGCGUGAAAUAUUUGUACAGAACUGUCCGACCAUUUGUGCGACCAUGUUAUCAGGACAUUACCUGUCCAACACCCACAGACUGAUUGCAUGUGAUUACAUCAUGUAUUCGAACAUCAACCUAAACAGAUAUUUUAAUCCAUGCGCGUGUCAAUGCAGGGUUUUCCAACAAGUUAUUGUAAUCUUUGAAUUAGUGUUUCAUAUUGCGAACUAUUUACAUGCUGUUAACGUCAUGAAUAUGUCAUUCCGAUUGAAAAUGACGCGACGUCAACAUCUUUGUUGCGUGAUAGUAUGCGUAUAUAAUGUUGUCAUAGCAACGCUAAAUAGUGGCGUACACAUGUAAUUUAUACAUCAUUGGAUUUGUGGAUGAACGUACAAUAUGAAACUGAAAAAAAACGAA